rnacentral:rRNA from 1 species
UGAGGAAUAUUGGACAAUGGGCGCAAGCCUGAUCCAGCCAUGCCGCGUGUGUGAAGAAGGUCUUCGGAUUGUAAAGCACUUUAAGUUGGGAGGAAGGGCAGUAAGCUAAUACCUUGCUGUUUUGACGUUACCGACAGAAUAAGCACCGGCUAACUCUGUGCCAGCAGCCGCGGUAAUACAGAGGGUGCAAGCGUUAAUCGGAAUUACUGGGCGUAAAGCGCGCGUAGGUGGUUUGUUAAGUUGGAUGUGAAAGCCCCGGGCUCAACCUGGGAACUGCAUCCAAAACUGGCAAGCUAGAGUACGGUAGAGGGUGGUGGAAUUUCCUGUGUAGCGGUGAAAUGCGUAGAUAUAGGAAGGAACACCAGUGGCGAAGGCGACCACCUGGACUGAUACUGACACUGAGGUGCGAAAGCGUGGGGAGCAAACAGGAUUAGAUACCCCCGUAGUCCCUGAGCGGGCUGGCAAGGCGCAU